AACGGAGGGUGCAAGCGUUAAUCGGAAUUACUGGGCGUAAAGCGUGCGCAGGCGGCUUUGCAAGACAGAUGUGAAAUCCCCGGGCUCAACCUGGGAACUGCAUUUGUGACUGCAUGGCUAGAGUGCGGCAGAGGGGGAUGGAAUUCCGCGUGUAGCAGUGAAAUGCGUAGAUAUGCGGAGGAACACCGAUGGCGAGGGCAAUCCCCUGGGCCUGCACUGACGCUGAGGCACGAAAGCAUGGGGAGCAAACAGG
rnacentral:rRNA from 1 species